rnacentral:rRNA from 1 species
UACGUAGGGGGCAAGCGUUAUCCGGAAUUAUUGGGCGUAAAGAGUACGUAGGUGGCAACCUAAGCGCAGGGUUUAAGGCAAUGGCUCAACCAUUGUUCGCCCUGCGAACUGGGAUGCUUGAGUGCAGGAGAGGAAAGCGGAAUUCCUAGUGUAGCGGUGAAAUGCGUAGAUAUUAGGAGGAACACCAGUGGCGAAGGCGGCUUUCUGGACUGUAACUGACACUGAGGUACGAAAGCGUGGGGAGCAAACAGG